UUGAUCUCAAAUCAGGUAGGACUACCCGCUGAACUUAAGCAUAUCAAUAAGCGGAGGAAAAGAAACUAACAAGGAUUCCCCUAGUAACUGCGAGUGAAGCGGGAAGAGCUCAAAUUUAAAAUCUGGCGUGCCUCUGGUCGUCCGAGUUGUAGUCUGGAGAAGCGUUUUCUGUGUUGGACCGUGUAUAAGUCUCUUGGAACAGGGCGUCAUAGAGGGUGAGAAUCCCGUCUUUGACACGGACUGCCAAUGCUUUGUGAUGCGCUCUCAAAGAGUCGAGUUGUUUGGGAAUGCAGCUCAAAAUGGGUGGUAAAUUCCAUCUAAAGCUAAAUAUGGGCGAGAGACCGAUAGCGAACAAGUACG
rnacentral:rRNA from 2 species